AUUGAACGCUGGCGGCAGGCCUAACACAUGCCAGUCGAGCGGAUGAAGGGAGCUUGCUCCUGGAUUCAGCGGCGGACGGGUGAGUAAUGCUUAGGAAUCUGCCUGGUAGUGGGGGAUAACGUCCGGAAACGGGCGCUAAUACCGCAUACGUCCUGAGGGAGAAAGUGGGGGAUCUUCGGACCUCACGCUAUCAGAUGAGCCUAGGUCGGAUUAGCUAGUUGGUGGGGUAAAGGCCUACCAAGGCGACGAUCCGUAACUGGUCUGAGAGGAUGAUCAGUCACACUGGAACUGAGACACGGUCCAGACUCCUACGGGAGGCAGCAGUGGGGAAUAUUGGACAAUGGGCGAAAGCCUGGUCCAGCCAUGCCGCGUGUGUGAAGAAGGUCUUCGGAUUGUAAAGCACUUUAAGUUGGGAGGAAGGGCAGUAAGUUAAUACCUUGCUGUUUUGACGUUACCAACAGAAUAAGCACCGGCUAACUUCGUG
rnacentral:rRNA from 1 species